rnacentral:miRNA from 1 species
UUGAGGUGAAUACGAGAGCAU